rnacentral:rRNA from 1 species
AGUGAACGCUGGCGGUAGGCCUAACACAUGCAAGUCGAACGGCAGCACAGUAAGAGCUUGCUCUUACGGGUGGCGAGUGGCGGACGGGUGAGGAAUACAUCGGAAUCUACUUUUUCGUGGGGGAUAACGUAGGGAAACUUACGCUAAUACCGCAUACGACCUACGGGUGAAAGCAGGGGAUCUUCGGACCUUGCGCGAUUGAAUGAGCCGAUGUCGGAUUAGCUAGUUGGCGGGGUAAAGGCCCACCAAGGCGACGAUCCGUAGCUGGUCUGAGAGGAUGAUCAGCCACAAUGGAACUGAGACACGGUCCAGACUCCUACGGGAGGCAGCAGUGGGGAAUAUUGGACAAUGGGCGUAAGCCUGAUCCAGCCAUACCGCGUGGGUGAAGAAGGCCUUCGGGUUGUAAAGCCCUUUUGUUGGGAAAGAAAAGCAGCAGGUUAAUACCCCGCUGUUCUGACGGUACCCAAAGAAUAAGCACCGGCUAACUUCGUG